UCGCCGCUCCCUCCCAUUUCAUUUCUAUAAUAAUGCAAGCAGACUAUUAUGCACAUAAUUUUACCAAUUUCCUCAACCAUUCAUGGACGUUUCAUCACGAAAUCGGGACACGGUCACUCUUUUGCUGGUACUAUAUACAAUCACAAUCCUAUACAUUCAACACGUGAAUGGGCAGCAAAUUGGUAAUUCAUCCGGAAAUGUUGUCAGGGUC